AUGCCUGAUAACACAAAGCUGGGAAUAAAAUUAGGCUCACAACCUAUAGAUGAUUUCUCCAAUUCUAUUUGUACCUGCCUCUGUGGACCCUCCAGAUGUCUCCCAACGACUUAUGGGUGUUCCCCUAAAUUCCCAGAAGAGCUCACAGUCCGUUGUCUCGGCCACCGUGCCGCCGCCUGGUUUCCUCUCAUUCCCCCAGCUGCCGAGGAUCACAGGCCCUCUGGUGCUGCCUGUGGGUGUGGGUGUAGGAUGCUGAUGAAUGUAUGGUUCAGAGGAUGCAGCCUCUGCCACGCCGAGGCCAGCUGGGGUCACUCAGCUGCACCCUGUGGCCGGAAACGUCCCCGGACGCUGCUGGUGCGCCGGAGCGCCAGCCCUGCCAAGGUUUCACUCCCUACCGGGAUUUCUCAAAUCUGUUCUGGCUUCAUCUCCCAUCGGGGAAAAAAGGUACCCCCUCGGAGGCAGGAGAGGCAGGACCGGGAGGAAGAGGGGACCUCACCGGGCAAGGGGGACCGCACUUGCCGGCUGUUCCCCUUCUCACUCGCUACCCAGGGUAUUUUUAUCAGAAGAAACGGUAAUAAUAUCACAGUGCUCCUAGCACUUCCUCAGCUCUGCUUCUAGCGUUUUAUGGUGCAGCAACAUAAACCUAGGCCUUAUUGGCAUUUACAGGAGAGAUUCGGCUCCACUGAAAAUUCAGUGAACACCGUCAAGUCCCAAAUGUACAACUAAUGGAAGCCCAAUAUCUUCCCCAG
rnacentral:lncRNA from 1 species